rnacentral:rRNA from 1 species
UACGGAGGGUGCAAGCGUUAUCCGGAUUCACUGGGUUUAAAGGGUGCGUAGGCGGGCUAUUAAGUCAGUGGUGAAAGCCCCAAGCUUAACUUGGGAACUGCCAUUGAUACUGAUGGUCUUGAGUACAUUUGAGGUGGGCGGAAUGUGUCAUGUAGCGGUGAAAUGCUUAGACAUGACACAGAACACCGAUUGCGAAGGCAGCUCACUAAACUGUAACUGACGCUGAGGCGCGAAAGCGUGGGGAGCAAACAGG